GGCGGGCCCGGCCCUCGCUCCCGGGGGUCUGGCAGGGGCCUGAGCCGCCCUCUCCUUGGUGCAGCUCGUCCCUUCCCCCGCGGCCGGCGCGGCCCCGUUAACGGCAGCGGCCCCGCGGCGCGGCCGGAGCGACAACGGCGCCGAGUGGCAUUAGCCCGGUCACGGCGCCGGCGGAGCGGCUCCUCCCGCGCCACCUGGGGCUGAGUGCCUUGGCAAGGCACCGAGGCGCCUCUGCCGAAAGCAGGUGCGGUGUCCCGCAGUUCAGCCGGGCCGAGCAAGAGCCCUCGCAGCUCCUCGCACCUAGUGCCACUUGUCGCAUUCCACUGCUCCUCCUCCUCUUCGUCGCGGGCAGGAUGGAUCCGCUCGCCGCAGACCACAGGGAAAACCGCCCCUGGGAUCCAGCCUCUCGGCACCACGGGAAUGAAAGAACUCUCAGCGAAAGCAAGUGUUACUGGGAUUAUUGCACUUUAAAAGCAUAGGUUCGCUUAGGUGACUGCUUGGCGGUAUAUAAAAGGAGAACAGAAAAUAGGGCAUCUAUCUCAAGUAAUGACAAGCCACCUGAUUCCUGUCAACACUCAGACAGCCAUGAAUCUGCAAAAUGAGAAGCCAGCAGUGGAAAUAUACUGUGAAUAAAAGGUGAAAACAGAC